rnacentral:rRNA from 1 species
GUGAGGAAUCUUCCACAAUGGGCGAAAGCCUGAUGGAGCAACGCCGCGUGAAGGAUGAAGGUCUUCGGAUUGUAAACUUCUUUUAUGAGUGAAGAAUAUGACGGUAACUCAUGAAUAAGCACCGGCUAACUACGUGCCAGCAGCCGCGGUCAUACGUAGGGUGCAAGCAUUAUCCGGAGUGACUGGGCGUAAAGAGUUGCGUAGGCGGUUAUGUAAGCGAAUAGUGAAACCUGGUGGCUCAACCACACAGACUAUUAUUCGAACUGCAUAACUCGAGAAUGGUAGAGGUAACUGGAAUUGCUUGUGUAGGAGUGAAAUCCGUAGAUAUAAGAAGGAACACCAAUGGCGUAGGCAGGUUACUGGGCCAUUUCUGACGCUAAGGCACGAAAGCGUGGGGAGCGAACCGGAUUAGAUACCCGUGUAGUCC